AUGCCACAGAGUUUAGGAAGGCGGCCUGAGGGCGCGGGGCUGAGGAGGGGUCGGGGCGCUGCGGAGUCAGCCAAGUGGCCCCAGAGGGCCCCCUCCCCAUCGCGACUGCCCUCGCCGCCCCCCUCCCCCGCGCGCACACACACACACACACACACACGCACACGCGUUCACUCACUCACACUCACGCCGGGCUCCGCCGCCGCCUCACCUCUCGCUCCGCCUGUCCGGCCCCCUUCCCUGCCCCCUGCGGGACCGGCCUGCGCGCAGCGCUGGAACCACGUAGGAAGAGGCGGCGGUGGCGGCGGCGGCCGCGGGAGUGGCAGAGUCUCCAGCACGGCCCAGAGUGAACGAGCAGCGGGGCUCCAGGGCGCAUCCCAAUCCCCGCAGCGCCGCCGCCGCCGCCUCCUUCCCCUCCUCCUGGCUUCAUUCACCCUCCCAGCAGCCGCGCAGCCGUUCACUCCCGGCGCAGGCAGGGCAGCGCCUGCCGCGGCUCCUCUGCUCCUGCCGCGGGCGCUGGCGGGGGCGCCGGCCCGGGCUGGGGCGCUCGCGGGCUCCCGGCUCCGGGCGGCGACGGCGGCUGCACAUGAUCAGGAAGCGGCCGUACCAACAGGGCGGCGGUGGCGGCAGCCAGGGCCGCCACCGCCACUCCAGCCGCGCUCCCGGCACCCGCACGCCGGCGCCCCCCGCUCCCACCCCUCCGCGUCCCCAGCGCUCCCACCGCGCGCAAAGUCCCGGCCCGACCGCCGGCGCAGACCCCUCCUGGUCCGCAGCCGUAAGCCCCCGGCCUCCGCGGGGAGACCCCCGCCCGGGGGCUCCGAGGCCAGGCGGCCACCCGCGGGGAAGCCCAGCCCUCCUCCAGACCCACUCGCUCCCGCCGCCCUCUUUGGGGAGAGGAGGGAGGGGGCCGCGGGAGGAGGGGGCUGCGCGACCCCCGGCCGCCGCCGUCUCCCGCUACGCCACCUCACGGGAGGAGGACAUGGCUCUCCGCACUCUCCGCCGGACCGGCAGCCGCCGCCGCCGCCGCCGCUGUCCCCGCCCGCGCCCCCAGCCCGGGCGCGCCCCCUCGCCCAGCGGGCGCCCACCCGGCCCCCGGCAGCCCCCCUGCCGGCCGUCCCUGCGCCCAGAGCAGGGGUGGCGGCCCGGGCGGCUGGAGCGGGGGAAGGUUGUAUGUACACACGCACACAUACACACACAACACAACACGACGCGUCGAUUUCCUUCGCUCCUCUUCCAGCUGUUUUUCGUGCCGCCGAUUGGGGUUUGGGGUUUGUUUGCUGGUUGUUGCUUUUGCCCCUCUCGGGAGAGCGGGGAUGGGGGGGAUUUUAA
rnacentral:lncRNA from 1 species